GCGGGUGUAGCUCAGCGGUAGAGCAUCUCGUUGCCAACGAGAAUGUCGAGGGUUCAAAUCCCUCUACCCGCU
rnacentral:tRNA from 1 species